GGACCACCAUGUCGGUCGUGCCUCGGUACGUACUGGUAUUGUUGGUUUCUCCCUUCUGAAGAACCAUGAUGUCAUUUAUUUGGUGUUGUUGGGGAAUCAGGACUGUUACUUUGAAAAAAUUAGAGUGUUUAAAGCAGGCUCACGCUUGAAUACAUUAGCAUGGAAUAAUGGAAUAAGACGUUUGAUUCUAUUUUGUUGGUUUCUAGGAUUGACGUA
rnacentral:rRNA from 1 species